rnacentral:misc_RNA from 1 species
CCUGUGCUCACUUUGUUUGCUAGGCUUGCUAGGAUCUCUAGCAUUUUCAACGUGCUUCACCUGUCUUGAAUAAUUCUCAGAUUUUUCAGUAGUACUGUUAUGCCUGAAAGCUGUUUUAAAGAACUCAUAUGGCCUUUUAACUGAGAUAAUCAAGUUUCUCUCUUUAGCAUCUUUUACCAGGGCAGCCCAGUUAUGGUUUGUUUGCAGAGUCCUUGCAUUACCGAAAAUCCAAAGGGAGAACUUGGCUCUUGUCAAAGCAACAUUCAUCCGCCUAACAUCAGCAAUAAACCCAAUACUG